CCUUAUCGCGGGCAAGCCUCGCUCCUACAGACUUGUGAGUUCUCUGUAGGAGCGAGGCUUGCCCGCGAUCACC
rnacentral:misc_RNA from 1 species